UACGAAGGGGGCUAGCGUUGCUCGGAAUUACUGGGCGUAAAGGGCGCGUAGGCGGAAUGGCAAGUCGGUCGUGAAAUCCUUCGGCUCAACCGAAGAACGUCGAUCGAAACUGCCGUUCUUGAGGAUUGCAGAGGAGACUGGAAUUCCCGGUGUAGCGGUGAAAUGUGUAGAGAUCAGGAGGAACACCGAUGGCGAAGGCAGGUCUCUGGGCCAUAACUGACGCUGAGAAGCGAAAGCAUGGGGAGCGAACAGG
rnacentral:rRNA from 1 species